CGACCUGAGAGGGUGGUCGGACACACUGACACUGAAUAACGGGUCAGACUCCUACGGGAGGCAGCAGUAGGGAAUUUUCCGCAAUGGGCGAAAGCCUGACGGAGCAACGCCGCGUGCGGGAUGACGCUUUUCGGAGUGUAAACCGCUGUUCGUGGGGACGAAGCACUGACGGUACCCACGGAGGAAGGCCCGGCUAACUACGUGCCAGCAGCCGCGGUA
rnacentral:rRNA from 14 species